rnacentral:lncRNA from 1 species
GGGGCCCCCUCUAUGACCGGGUCCCCUGGAGUUUUUAAUUCUCAGAUUUGAUCACCCCGAGCCUCCAGCAAUUCAUCAAUUACGUUUGGGUUUUCCCACCCCAGUACUGGUUCUGGCAGGGAUUCUUGCUCACGGGUUAAUGCUCUGGUCUGAGAUUCUCAAAACAUGGAACAAGGAAUAAUAGUGUUAUAUCAAGAAGCUUUAGAUGGUAAAUAGACAUGGCAUCAAACAGUGCUGAAACGUGCUAGCUGCCAUGUUGUGAGAAGAGGCUCAAAUGGUGAGGAUCUGAGGCACCUGUCCAACAUCCAUUGAGGAACUGAAGCAUCUUGCCAGGCGCCAUGUGAGUGAGCUUGGAAGCAUUUCCUCCCACCCCAG